GAUGAACGCUGGCGGCGUGCCUAAUACAUGCAAGUCGAACGAGUUCUCGUUGAUGAUCGGUGCUUGCACCGAGAUUCAACAUGGAACGAGUGGCGGACGGGUGAGUAACACGUGGGUAACCUGCCCUUAAGUGGGGGAUAACAUUUGGAAACAGAUGCUAAUACCGCAUAGAUCCAAGAACCGCAUGGUUCUUGGCUGAAAGAUGGCGUAAGCUAUCGCUUUUGGAUGGACCCGCGGCGUAUUAGCUAGUUGGUGAGGUAAUGGCUCACCAAGGCGAUGAUACGUAGCCGAACUGAGAGGUUGAUCGGCCACAUUGGGACUGAGACACGGCCCAAACUCCUACGGGAGGCAGCAGUAGGGAAUCUUCCACAAUGGACGCAAGUCUGAUGGAGCAACACCGCGUGAGUGAAGAAGGCUUUCGGGUCGUAAAACUCUGUUGUUGGAGAAGAAUGGUCGGCAGAGUAACUGUUGUCGGCGUGACGGUAUCCAACCAGAAAGCCAUGGCUAACUACGUGCCAGCAGCCGCGGUAAUACGUAGGUGGCAAGCGUUAUCCGGAUUUAUUGGGCGUAAAGCGAGCGCAGGCGGUUUUUUAAGUCUGAUGUGAAAGCCCUCGGCUUAACCGAGGAAGCGCAUCGGAAACUGGGAAACUUGAGUGCAGAAGAGGACAGUGGAACUCCAUGUGUAGCGGUGAAAUGCGUAGAUAUAUGGAAGAACACCAGUGGCGAAGGCGGCUGUCUGGUCUGUAACUGACGCUGAGGCUCGAAAGCAUGGGUAGCGAACAGGAUUAGAUACCCUGGUAGUCCAUGCCGUAAACGAUGAAUGCUAGGUGUUGGAGGGUUUCCGCCCUUCAGUGCCGCAGCUAACGCAUUAAGCAUUCCGCCUGGGGAGUACGACCGCAAGGUUGAAACUCAAAGGAAUUGACGGGGGCCCGCACAAGCGGUGGAGCAUGUGGUUUAAUUCGAAGCAACGCGAAGAACCUUACCAGGUCUUGACAUCUUUUGAUCACCUGAGAGAUCAGGUUUCCCCUUCGGGGGCAAAAUGACAGGUGGUGCAUGGUUGUCGUCAGCUCGUGUCGUGAGAUGUUGGGUUAAGUCCCGCAACGAGCGCAACCCUUAUGACUAGUUGCCAGCAUUUAGUUGGGCACUCUAGUAAGACUGCCGGUGACAAACCGGAGGAAGGUGGGGAUGACGUCAAAUCAUCAUGCCCCUUAUGACCUGGGCUACACACGUGCUACAAUGGAUGGUACAACGAGUUGCGAGACCGCGAGGUCAAGCUAAUCUCUUAAAGCCAUUCUCAGUUCGGACUGUAGGCUGCAACUCGCCUACACGAAGUCGGAAUCGCUAGUGAUCGCGGAUCAGCACGCCGCGGUGAAUACGUUCCCGGGCCUUGUACACACCGCCCGUCACACCAUGAGAGUUUGUAACACCCGAAGCCGGUGGCGUAACCCUUUUAGGGAGCGAGCCGUCUAAGGUGGGACAAAUGAUUAGGGUG
rnacentral:rRNA from 1 species